AGGGGCGUAGAAUGGGCCUCGACCUGGACUUCCAUACCAUACCAUAUCAUAUCACAUCAUAUCAUACGAGGACUAAAGGAUCAUCCAACACCCAUCCACAUCAUCAUCAUAUUAUGCAAUGCAACAUAUUCGUGAAUUCUAAUGCAAGCACCCUAGUAUAUCUCAUGGCAUUCAUGAUGCGUGAAUCAUGCUAAGAACUGAUUUAUUUACUUUAAAGCAUAAAGAGUUAUUCCACUCACCUUAGG
rnacentral:lncRNA from 1 species